rnacentral:lncRNA from 1 species
AGUGAGAGUUGACUUUGGUCAACGUUGACAAAAAAAUCAACUGUUGACCAAAGUCAACAAAAUGGUCAAAAUUCAGUUUUCUUUGUAUUUCCCUUGUAAAUGGACAUUGAAUUGAUGGUUAUGGGUAAUUUUUGGAUUUUGGGUUGACUUUGGUCAAAGUUGACCAAAAAGUCAACUGUUGACAAAAGUCAACAGUUGGUCAAAAUUGUCAAGACUUGUACUUUUUUAUAUGAAAUCAAAUGUGAUGGUUUCGAAUGA